rnacentral:ncRNA from 1 species
GCACAUCGGCGGCACUUCGGUUCCGCGUGAGCGGAUGAAAAGGGAACCCGGUGCGGCAUCUGCCUAUUCCGGGGCUGCCCCCGCAACUGUGAGCGGCGAGCGACGGCUGACACGCCACUGGGACAUUCCCGGGAAGGCCAGCCAGAGCGACGACCCGCGAGUCAGGAGACCUGCCGAGGCGCUCAUCCUUUC